GGACCGGUGGUGUAGUGGUAACACAUUGCGUCCGGACUUGAACGGAAGUGGUUCGAUUCCCCUCCGAUCCA
rnacentral:tRNA from 1 species